AGAGUUUGAUCCUGGCUCAGGAUGAACGCUGGCGGCGUGCCUAACACAUGCAAGUCGAACGGACUUACAUUGAAGCCUAGCGAUAUGUAAGUUAGUGGCGGACGGGUGAGUAACGCGUGGGUAACCUGCCUUGUACUGGGGGACAACAGUUGGAAACGACUGCUAAUACCGCAUAAGCGCACAGCUUCGCAUGAAGCAGUGUGAAAAACUCCGGUGGUACAAGAUGGACCCGCGUCUGAUUAGCUGGUUGGUGAGGUAACGGCCCACCAAGGCAACGAUCAGUAGCCGGCCUGAGAGGGUGAACGGCCACAUUGGGACUGAGACACGGCCCAAACUCCUACGGGAGGCAGCAGUGGGGAAUAUUGCACAAUGGGGGAAACCCUGAUGCAGCAACGCCGCGUGAGUGAAGAAGUAUUUCGGUAUGUAAAGCUCUAUCAGCAGGAAAGAAAAUGACGGUACCUGACUAAGAAGCCCCGGCUAACUACGUGCCAGCAGCCGCGGUAAUUCGUAGGGGGCAAGCGUUAUCCGGAUUUACUGGGUGUAAAGGGAGCGUAGACGGUUUUGCAAGUCUGAAGUGAAAGCCCGGGGCUUAACCCAUAAACUGCAUUUGAAACUGUAGAGCUUGAGUGAAGUAGAGGCAGGCGGAAUUCCCCGUGUAGCGGUGAAAUGCGUAGAGAUGGGGAGGAACACCAGUGGCGAAGGCGGCCUGCUGGGCUUUAACUGACGCUGAGGCACGAAAGCGUGGGUAGCAAACAGGAUUAGAUACCCUGGUAGUCCACGCUGUAAACGAUGA
rnacentral:rRNA from 1 species